UGGGGGAUAUUGCACAAUGGGCGAAAGCCUGAUGCAGCGACGCCGCGUGGGGGAUGAAGGCCUUCGGGUUGUAAACUUCUUUUGCUCUGAACAAGGCGCACCAUGGGGUGUGUUGAGUGUAGGGGUUGAUUAGCGCCGGCUAACUACGUGCCAGCAGCCGCGGUAAUACGUAGGGCGCGAGCGUUGUCCGGAAUUAUUGGGCGUAAAGGGCUUGUAGGUGGCUGGUUGCGUCUGUCGUGAAAGCUCAUGGCUUAACUGUGGGUUUGCGGUGGGUACGGGCUGGCUUGAGUGCAGUAGGGGAGGCUGGAAUUCCUGGUGUAGCGGUGGAAUGCGCAGAUAUCAGGAGGAAUACCGGUGGCAAGGCGGGUCUCUGGGCUGUUACUGACACUGAGGAGCGAAAGCAUGGGGAGCGAACAGG
rnacentral:rRNA from 1 species